GCUCAACCCUCUAAAAGUAUUUCAUCUUCAGAAUUGAUGGAGGAAGAUAAAGUCAAACCCAAAAAAGACAAAUAGCAAAUGGCUGGUGAUCCUCCUUUCCAACAAAUGGCAAUUUUAGCUGGGCCUCUAAUGAAUGAGACAGACUCCUCAUUAGCAACUGAUUUUGAAGAAGAAUUGGCGGAUAUCACAAACUUGCUGAUGGCAACUUCAACAGGCUCUAAUGAUGGGAUCACAGAACCUCAUGUAGAGCAACCAAUUGAUACUCUUGAUGGAGAAAAUCCAGAUAAAGCUCUUCCCAGUCCAACUUCUGGUCCUUGGUUCACUCUUGAUGAUAUUCCUCCAGCCAAAUGGAGAGAUAGAAUGACGGAAUUUCAUGCUUGGCUUGAUCUCCAAAUGUCUAAACUGGAUGCAGAAUUAUUGAAUGUCUUGAAAGAAUUCUCUUAUAGAUUCAUUGGAUCAUUAAGAGAAUGGUUCUACAGUCUUGGACAUUACAAGCGGCUCUUGUUUUACUAAGCAUUGA
rnacentral:misc_RNA from 1 species